rnacentral:rRNA from 1 species
UGGGCGCAACCGGGAUGCAGCGUCCCCGUGUGGUUUAUGUCGUCAUUCUGGUUGUUGAGUCUUUCAGUGGGAUUUAUUUGUUGUUGUGGUUUUUAUAGAGGAAGGUCCGGCCAACUACGUGUCAACAGACGCGGUAAUAUGUAGGGUCCGAGCGUUUUCUGGAAUUACUGGACGUAAAGAGCUCGUAGGUGGUUUGUCACGUUGUUCGUGAAAACCCACAGCUUAACUGUUGGCGUGCGGGCGAUACGGGCAGACUGGAGUACUGCAGGGGAGACUGGAAUUCCUGGUGUAGCGGUGGAAUGCGCAGAUAUCAGGAGGAACACCGGUGGCGAAGGCGGGUCUCUGGGCAGUAACUGACGCUGAGGAGCGAAAGCGUGGGGAGCGAACAGGAUUAGAUACCCUGGUAGUCCACGCCGUAAACGGUGGGUACUAGGUGUGGGUUUCCUUCCUUGGGAUCCGUGCCGUAGCUAACGC